UAGGGAAUCUUCGGCAAUGGACGAAAGUCUGACCGAGCAACGCCGCGUGAGUGAAGAAGGUUUUCGGAUCGUAAAACUCUGUUGUUAGAGAAGAACAAGGACGUUAGUAACUGAACGUCCCCUGACGGUACCUAACAAGAAAGCCACGGCUAACUACGUGCCAGCAGCCGCGGUAAUACGUAGGUGGCAAGCGUUGUCCGGAUUUAUUGGGCGUAAAGCGGGCGCAGGCGGUUUCUUAAGACUGAUGUGAAAGCCCCCGGCUCAACCGGGGAGGGUCAUUGGAAACUGGGAGACUUGAGUGCAGAAGAAGAGAGUGGAAUUCCAUGUGUAGCAGUGAAAUGCGUAGAUAUAUGGAGGAACACCAGUGGCGAAGGCGGCUCUCUGGUCUGUAACUGACGCUGAGGCUCGAAAGCGUGGGGGGCAAACAGG
rnacentral:rRNA from 1 species